rnacentral:lncRNA from 1 species
CACUGUGCCCAAGGCUUGGUAGGACGGGCAAAGGUGGAAAAACUAUCCCUGCCAAAGGGCUACCAAAAAACAAAAAAGUGGUCUGUUGGUUAGCACCUGUAGUUGCCCAUUCCUAAUUCUUGAUUUCCAGAAACAGAAAACGACCUUGCUCCCUUUUCAUUUCUCUGGAGUCAGCGGCCAACCUUGAUGCUUUCUUUCCGGCAAACUCCCUCUCCCAACCCAUAAACUGAAUAUCUAAACCCAAGGUUGGAGUAUGAUUAAUGGAACUUCCGUACUCAGCUCCCCUCACCAGAGUGUAAAUACCCAUACAAACUAAUAUCAAAAGUUCUUACUGAGCGCUUCGUUUCCCUGAGAGCUGGGCCGAACGGGGCUGGAGCCGCGGGACAAAGGAACCGCGGCUGUUCCUUGAAAAGUGCUGGGUGCUCUAGACCCGCUCAGUGAGAGUCCCUGGAGCCAGACGGAGGUUCUGGGGAGGACAUGCGAACCUGGCAACGCCAGUCCAGGACUCACCUUCCACGGAGGGCAGGUGUAUUUACCAAGCCACAGGAGAGGGAAUGGUGAGGGGUCGGAAAAGUAAGAGUGAGUAAGGAGAUGCGCCAGCGAAGUAUGUCACCAGCCUGGUCCGACAGGGUGAAUUUUUUUUUCGUAGGGCUGGGUAUGAUGCUUGUAUUUCACCCACAUGACAUUGGAUGCGCACAUUCACUCUGUGUGUGUAUGCACGUUUGAUGCGUGAAUAUGCGUGCAUAUCAAGGCACAC